GCUAUUUGAUUUAGUUUUUCAGAUAACAGUCAAACCUGUGUAUAAAGACCAUCAUCACUCUUAAAGGCGACCUUUAUCCACAGGUUUAAAUACACUAUUUUUUACAUGGAAAAAAGUAAAGUUUUUGGUUUCUUUAGCAUGGUAAACAGGUCCUAAGCAAAUGUCUGUCUUUUCAGCAAACAUUUUUCGCUACAUGUCUU
rnacentral:lncRNA from 1 species